rnacentral:rRNA from 1 species
AGUGAACGCUGGCGGUAGGCCUAACACAUGCAAGUCGAACGGCAGCACAGUAAGAGCUUGCUCUUACGGGUGGCGAGUGGCGGACGGUUGAGGAAUACAUCGGAAUCUACUUUUUCGUGGGGGAUAACGUAGGGAAACUUACACUAAUACCGCAUACGACCUACGGGUGAAAGCAGGGGAUCUUCGGACCUUGCGCGAUUGAAUGAGCCGAUGUCGGAUUAGCUAGUUGGCGGGGUAAAGGCCCACCAAGGCGACGAUCCGUAGCUGGUCUGAGAGGAUGAUCAGCCACACUGGAACUGAGACACGGUCCAGACUCCUAAGGGAGGCAGCAGUGGGGAAUAUUGGACAAUGGGCGCAAGCCUGAUCCAGCCAUACCGCGUGGGUGAAGAAGGCCUUCGGGUUGUAAAGCCCUUUUGUUGGGAAAGAAAAGCAGCAGGUUAAUACCCCGCUGUUCUGACGGUACCCAAAGAAUAAGCACCGGCUAACUUCGUG